GGCAAUAUCACGUUAAAACCCUGGUUCCCUUACGAUCACCGAAGUUAAGCAGCGUCGAGUUUGGUCAGCAUCAAGAUGGGUAUCCGCUUGGGAAUAGCAGGUGCUGUAAG